rnacentral:rRNA from 1 species
UCCGGUUGAUCCUGCCGGAGGCUAUUGCUAUCGGUGUCCGAUUUAGCCAUGCGAGUCGUGCGGGUUCAGACCCGCGGCGAACUGCUCAGUAACACGUGGCCAAGCUACCCUCUGGAGACGGAUAACCUCGGGAAACUGAGGCUAACCCGUCAUACCGCUUCCGAGCUGGAGUGCUGGAAGCGGGAAACGCUCCGGCGCCGGAGGAUGCGGCUGCGGCCGAUUAGGUAGACGGUGGGGUAAUGGCCCACCGUGCCGAUAAUCGGUACGGGUUGUGAGAGCAAGAACCCGGAGACGGACUCUGAGACAAGAGUCCGGGCCCUACGGGGCGCAGCAGGCGCGAAACCUUUACACUGCACGUCAGUGCGAUAGGGGGACACCGAGUGCGAGGGCAUAGAGCCCUCGCUUUUCUGAACCUUAAGGUGGUUCAGGAAUAAGGGCUGGGCAAGACCGGUGCCAGCCGCCGCGGUAACACCGGCAGCCCGAGUGAUAGCCGAUAUUAUUGGGCCUAAAGCGUCCGUAGCUGGCCGGGGAGGUCCGUCGGGAAAUCCACUCGCUCAACGAGUGGGCGUCCGGCGGAAACCCUCCGGCUUGGGACCGGAAGACCGAAGGGGUACGUCCGGGGUAGGAGUGAAAUCCUGUAAUCCUGGACGGACCACCGGUGGCGAAAGCGCCUUCGGAGGACGGAUCCGACAGUGAGGGACGAAAGCUAGGGUCUCGAACCGGAUUAGAUACCCGGGUAGUCCUAGCCGUAAACGAUGCUCGCUAGGUGUGGCACAGGCUACGAGCCUGUGCUGUGCCGUAGGGAAGCCGUGAAGCGAGCCGCCUGGGAAGUACGUCCGCAAGGAUGAAACUUAAAGGAAUUGGCGGGGGAGCACUACAACCGGAGGAGCCUGCGGUUUAAUUGGAUUCAACGCCGGAA